rnacentral:rRNA from 1 species
AUCUUGCGCAAUGGGCGAAAGCCUGACGCAGCCAUGCCGCGUGAACGAUGAAGGUCUUNGGAUUGNANAAUUCUUUCACCGGGGANAAUAAUGACGGUACCCGGAUAAGAAGCCCCGGCUAACUUCGUGCCAGCAGCCGCGGUAAUACGAAGGGGGCUAGCGUUGCUCGGAAUUACUGGGCGUAAAGGGCGCGUAGGCGGAGCGUUAAGGAAGGUGUGGAAUACCGGGGCUCAACAUCGGAAUUGCCCUUGAUACUGGCGAUCUUGAGUAUGAGAGAGGUAGAUGGAACUCCGAGUGUAGAGGUGAAAUUCGUAGAUAUUCGGAAGAACACCAGUGGCGAAGACGACAUACUGGCUCAUUACUGACGCUGAGGCGCGAAAGCGUGGGGAGCAAAC